rnacentral:lncRNA from 1 species
UGUGUACCCUCACUCCCGUAAGUUGCCGAUCUCCCCCUUCUUUCUCUUAUCCUAUCUGUCAACAAAUAAUAAAAGAGGGAGAGAAAGAGAAGGAGAGAGAGAGAGAAGAGAAAAGAAGAAGGAAAGGAGGCCAUGGGCCUCCCCAACACCGAAGGGGAAAAGGAAGGAAAGGAGAGGAGGCCAUGGGCCUCCCCCCGCACGCCUUAUGUGUGCUCUCGCAUGGCCGAAUCCAUCUGCACUGGUCCCCAUGCAUCCCCAACCACCU